GACGAACGCUGGCGGCGUGCUUAACACAUGCAAGUCGAACGGAAAGGCCCUGCUUUUGUGGGGUGCUCGAGUGGCGAACGGGUGAGUAACACGUGAGUAACCUGCCCUUGACUUUGGGAUAACUUCAGGAAACUGGGGCUAAUACCGGAUAGGAGCUCCUGCUGCAUGGUGGGGGUUGGAAAGUUUCGGCGGUUGGGGAUGGACUCGCGGCUUAUCAGCUUGUUGGUGGGGUAGUGGCUUACCAAGGCUUUGACGGGUAGCCGGCCUGAGAGGGUGACCGGCCACAUUGGGACUGGGAUACGGCCCAGACUCCUACGGGAGGCAGCAGUGGGGAAUAUUGCACAAGGGGCGGAAGCCUGAGGCAGCAACGCCGCGUGCGGGAUGACGGCCUUCGGGUUGUAAACCGCUUUCGCCUGUGACGAAGCGUGAGUGACGGUAAUGGGUAAAGAAGCACCGGCUAACUACGUG
rnacentral:rRNA from 1 species